rnacentral:rRNA from 1 species
GAUGAACGCUGGCGGCGUGCCUAAUACAUGCAAGUCGAACGAACAGACGAGGAGCUUGUUCCUCUGACGGUAGCGGCGGACGGGCGGGUAACGCGUGGAUCACAUACCUAUAUUACUGGGAGAACUUCGAGGAAAAGGAGCUAUAACCGCAUAAACUAUUUACCCGUGAGAUCAAAUAUUCAUAGACGGUUUUGCGGUCGCUUAUGGCUGGUUCCGCGCCGCAUUAGCUAGUUGGUAAGGUCACGGCUCACCAAGGCGACGAUCCGUAGCUGGUCUGAGAGGAUGAUCAGCCACACUGGAACUGAGACACGGUCCAGACUCCUACGGGAGGCAGCAGUGGGGAAUAUUGGACAAAGGGCGCAAGCCUGAUCCAGCCAUACCGCGUGGGUGAAGAAGGCCUUCGGGUUGUAAAGCCCUUUUGUUGGGAAAGAAAAGCAGCAGGUUAAUACCCCGCUGUUCUGACGGUACCCAAAGAAUAAGCACCGGCUAACUUCGUG